UCCCUGAUAGCUCAGUUAGUAAAGAGAAUUUGCCUGCAAUGCAGGAGACCCUGGUUCAAUUCCUGGGUUGGGAA
rnacentral:tRNA from 1 species